AGAGUUUGAUCCUGGCUUAGAUUGAACGCUGGCGGCAGGCCUAACACAUGCAAGUCGAGCGGAUGAAGGGAGCUUGCUCCUGGAUUCAGCGGCGGACGGGUGAGUAAUGCCUAGGAAUCUGCCUGGUAGUGGGGGAUAACGUCCGGAAACGGGCGCUAAUACCGCAUACGUCCUGAGGGAGAAAGUGGGGGAUCUUCGGACCUCACGCUAUCAGAUGAGCCUAGGUCGGAUUAGCUAGUUGGUGGGGUAAAGGCCCACCAAGGCGACGAUCCGUAACUGGUCUGAGAGGAUGAUCAGUCACACUGGAACCGAGACACGGUCCAGACUCCUACGGGAGGCAGCAGUGGGGAAUAUUGGACAAUGGGCGAAAGCCUGAUCCAGCCAUGCCGCGUGUGUGAAGAAGGUCUUCGGAUUGUAAAGCACUUUAAGUUGGGAGGAAGGGCAGUAAGUUAAUACCUUGCUGUUUUGACGUUACCAACAGAAUAAGCACCGGCUAACUUCGUGCCAGCAGCCGCGGUAAUACGAAGGGUGCAAGCGUUAAUCGGAAUUACUGGGCGUAAAGCGCGCGUAGGUGGUUCAGCAAGUUGGAUGUGAAAUCCCCGGGCUCAACCUGGGAACUGCAUCCAAAACUACUGAGCUAGAGUACGGUAGAGGGUGGUGGAAUUUCCUGUGUAGCGGUGAAAUGCGUAGAUAUAGGAAGGAACACCAGUGGCGAAGGCGACCACCUGGACUGAUACUGACACUGAGGUGCGAAAGCGUGGGGAGCAAACAGGAUUAGAUACCCUGGUAGUCCACGCCGUAAACGAUGUCGACUAGCCGUUGGGAUCCUUGAGAUCUUAGUGGCGCAGCUAACGCGAUAAGUCGACCGCCUGGGGAGUACGGCCGCAAGGUUAAAACUCAAAUGAAUUGA
rnacentral:rRNA from 1 species